ACGGUUUAAAUCGAUACUUGCUACAGCGACUGCUAAGAGGAUCAAUAAUCCUGGUCAUGUAGUUACAGAUCAGGCAAAACCUAGUGAUCCUGGCAUACGACUCCAUAGUUCGUCGAAGAGCAGCCUGAGCAUCCUGAGUCAUAGAAUCUGCCUCAUCCAAAAUUAUAAUUUUAAAAGGAGGACAAGGAUAACCGUCGACUUUGUUGGUUACGGUUGUUUUUGCAAAAGACUUGACUUUCUCCCGAAUAAUAGAGAUACCGCGUUCAUCAGAAGCAUUCAAUUCCAAAACCCUUGAUUUCAUCAAUUGCGGUCCAAAUAGCUCACGAGACAAAGCUAGAAUGGUUGACGUCUUUCCAGUACCAGGAGAGCCAUAAAACA